GAAUUCGAUUCAGGCCUAACACAUGCAAGUCGAGCGGAAGAAGUAGCUUGCUACUGAUUCAGCGGCGGACGGGUGAGUAAUGCCUAGGAAUCUGCCUGGUAGUGGGGGACAACGUUUCGAAAGGAACGCUAAUACCGCAUACGUCCUACGGGAGAAAGUGGGGGACCCUCGGGCCUCACGCUAUCAGAUGAGCCUAGGUCGGAUUAGCUAGUUGGUGGGGUAAUGGCUCACCAAGGCGACGAUCCGUAACUGGUCUGAGAGGAUGAUCAGUCACACUGGAACUGAGACACGGUCCAGACUCCUACGGGAGGCAGCAGUGGGGAAUAUUGUACAAGGGGCGCAAGCCUGAUCCAGCCAUGCCGCG
rnacentral:rRNA from 1 species